rnacentral:rRNA from 1 species
UACGAAGGGGGCUAGCGUUGUCCGGAAUCAUUGGGCGUAAAGGGCGCGUAGGUGGCCUGCUAAGCGUGCGGUGAAAGUCGGGGGCUCAACCCCCGAUCGGCCGUGCGAACUGGGAGGCUUGAGCACUGUAGAGGCAGGCGGAAUUCCGGGUGUAGCGGUGGAAUGCGUAGAGAUCCGGAAGAACACCGGUGGCGAAGGCGGCCUGCUGGGCAGUUUUGCUGACACUGAGGCGCGAAAGCGUGGGGAGCGAACAGG